ensembl:lncRNA
UGAAUAACGUAUAAUUUCAUAUCCUCCCUUAUGCUAAAAAAAUACAUUAUCGCAAAAUCAGUUAAAUGUAUAGGUUGCUCCAAAAGUAAUGCUUCCUACUUAUUUCCUAGGAAACUACAGCAAAUACAAAGAGUACAACAAUGCUAUUUGACCAAGAAGAUUCUCAGGUACAAAAUGCUAUUUAUUUCUCAGUGCAGUCACUAUCAUAAGCUUUGAAUUUUGACCAGCAAUGAAGAAGAGCUUGCAAGCCGUGCUCAUAAAAAUCUGCACAGCUAAGGGUGACCCACUGCUUCAGAGCAGUGAUAGGAAAACAUUAACUGUGACCUCUUGUACGUCACAGUUGAACCUACAACUGAGAAUUUGUUUGGUCAGAAGUGGCAGCUAAUGGCAUCCAAGAAAGUUCACCUUGGACAAGAACUGCUUCAGAUGCAACCUGAAGGAGCCUCAGAAGUUCCCAAAUGAGAUUUCUCCAACCUGUAUAUCUCACUUAAAAUAACAUCAACCAAACCUUGACCAUCUGAUGUGCUAAAUCUGUAUGGAUCAUUAUUUUGAAAAAAAGACUAAAAGGAGUGGCUGUGCUAUGAGUUCAAUGGGCACCGCGGC